ensembl:lncRNA
AGACAGCGGAGUCCUGCCGGCGUCAGAACACCGGAAAGCAGGAAAUCCACACCACAAGGCGACCUCCUGCGAAAAGCACGGCUGUGCCCUGGCGCGGAACUGUACAGUGCACAGUGCGUCGGGACUCACAGGGCACCCAGAAAUGCGUGCGAUUUUCAUGAUCAAUAAGAACACGACAAGAAGGAAGGAAAAAGGAAGGUCCCAAGGCUACGGGGCAUGUAAGCUCCGAGCCUGCAGGCGGCGGUGGAGACAAAGCUGUGUUCGUGGGUGGGUGGCGCUGGCGUCCGCCCCUCAAGAAGGACCCGGAUUCGGAUCAGCGGGAGAAGCGGCCUCUGCCCUCUGCUUGCUGUGCGGGACGCUGGCAGCUGCCCAGGGCUGGAGCCCGCGUGGCUUCUACUCACCCGUGACGUCAGCUGCUGUGAUCGCCUGGUGCCAGGGACCCGCGGGGCCGCGGGGCCCCACGCAGACCGGCGGACCGGGAGCCACGCGAGGGCCUCCAGGAUCACAGCUCCGCGGAGAGCCCAGCAGACAAGCACCGUCUUUAUUCUCUAGCUCUGCCCCAGCAGGGUGUGACCAGAGCACCCCUUCCUGUCCCGGGCCUCGGGACCAUCGCCCGGAGGCUGACGGUGACGGUUCGGAGGUCCCUGUCACACUGUCCCCUCCGCUGGCCUUGGCCCGGGCGAGGGUCCUGGACGCAGUGCUUGAGGGACUGGGCGGGCGUGCAGGGCGUGCACCGUGCUUCUACGGCUCUCUGCCGGCCACGGCCCAGCCCAAGUGGGUCCGGGAGCUGGGGCAGGGAGUGGUUCAGAUCGAAGUCCAGAUUACAGUACUGGGGGAGGGCUGUUCUGGGAACGGAGCAAGAGGGUGUUUGGAGACAGGGAGAGGGUCAGGGCCAGGGCCAGUGUCAAGACCAGGUCGGGGCCAGGGACAGGCCCCAGGCCUCCAUCCCUCUCUCUGCUGCGCUCCCAGAAAUCCCAACGGAGCUGUGGAGUUUGCAAGUCUGGGCCGGGAAUGCGACCACUGAAGAUCUGGCGUGGCAUCCAGGGGCGGCAGGGCCAAGGUCUCCUUCGGUGGCAGCUCAGACUCCGCCCCUCAUGACCUCAUCACACCCAAAAGUGCCGGACUUCACUGUGGCAAUUAAAUUUCAGCAAACGUCCAAACCAUGGCAACUCCUGUAGCCCGAAGCCACCAAAAUCAUCUGCUAGUUACCCACUAAUAUUACACUUGCUAAAAGAACACCAGUUGACCAGCACAGGAACUAUUCGCAAGAACAAAGCAGAGAUUCCUGAAAAAUUGUUGCAAGGUCACAAUAGACAAAUAUAUGGUACAAUCUUUGGAUUUCAGAAAGACAUAACAUUGGCCUCCUAUGUGGGGAAGAAAAACAAAGUAGUAUUGACUGUCAACAUUACACCGUGAUGAUAAAACCAAUUGUGAAGCCCCUUCCGCUGAUCUGUGCUGUGACUCUGCUCUUCCUUGUAAAAGCCUGUAAACACGAUGGGGAAGAGUCUCCUAGAGAGAAACGAAGCUUUGCUUUCCUAGCUCAGCCGACAUUAGACUUGGGGUCGGCCGGGCGUCGGCGGACCGCAGUGGGAAUUUCCAGAGCGCCGCGUGAACUCUGCCGAUCCCUGCAUCGAGCGGAGGCCCUGAGCUGGAGGGCGGCUGCGGCUGCGAUCGCGGGCGGGUGUGAGCGGUCUGCCACCCGCCGAAUCCCAUACUCCGCUGGGGCCGUGUGUCUACGUAGUGAGGCUCCUAGAAAUCAAGCACUUAACAGCUCCCAGGCGAUGAUGCCACCUAAACUGGGCGUGCUUGGGAUGGAUUUAAAAGUGCAAUUGGGAUGCAGCUCAGUGGGAAGUCCGUGGGUUUCAUCCUCGGUACCUCAAAAAAAAUUUUUUUUGAUUUUUUAAAAUUAAAAACUGCAAUUUCAGGCCCGCACUCAGCAGCUCGCCCACAAAGUGCCAUGACUUGAGGUUGUUGGGAACCGACCCUGGCUAACCCGGAAGUCUUGAUUAGGCCGCCUGGAAAAGACCCACUUAGGCUGUGGUUUCCGUAGUGUAGUGGUUAUCACGUUCGCCUCACACGCGAAAGGUCCCCGGUUCGAAACCGGGCGGAAACAUCCCUCUUUUGCCUGUCGCACUGAGCUCCCGCGACUCCCUAGCCACACGGAGGCUUGGUCCCCAGGCUGGGGCGCUCUGUGGAUUCCCCUAGAGCCCACCAUUCCCCGUGCCAAGGCUUUUUGCAGUCCCUGACCACCACCACUUUCGGUUUAAGGUGCUGUUCCAGUACCGGCUGUGGGUAAACAAUCUCCCAGCCGGACCUGGCGGCGACCUGCUCGUCCCCGAGGCCCAGACCCGGGGCGAGCUCUGCCGUCGGUGGUUUGAAAUUCUUUUUUUUUGUUGUUGUUAAACAAGGAGCGUCUUCCUUUGGCUCUGCGCCCGUAAAGGACAGCGCAUGAGCACCUCCUCCCGGGUGCUCCCUGCAGCGGGUCCCCGAUCUCACUGCCCCUUAGCGGAGGCAGCAGAGCGCCGGGGCGCGCAGCUCGGAGAGUAGGCGCGCGCAGAGCUGAGAGCCCCACGCGCGGGAGAGCAGCAGCCAGGACACCGUCGCCCGGGAGGCGGUCCCGGACCUCAGCCCCUCCUGGCCUCCUCGGGUUUCCCUCAGCCCCUUGCAUCCCCUUCCGUGCUGUCCCAGAGCUCAGGAUGGAGAAAAAGGUCCUCACAGCGAGUGUCCUUCUUGCCUUCUUUGCGAAUUGUAUUAAAAGCAAAAAUGUUAAACGACUCUGGUUCUUAGGAAAUGUGUGAAGUAGGAAGAUGUAGAAAGUUACAGUUCAAUCCUGUUUGAGGGCCUCUGUCAAUGACUUUGCGAAUUCCCGGGCCUCACGCUACCACUGAGCCGCACUCCAGCUCCCUAGCUAAUUUCUAAAAAUUUCUAAUCCUAAUUUUUGCUAUUUUCCAUCACUACAAAGUGCCUCUGCCACUAGAGGUCGAAGUGCUUCCUUAGCCUGAGGAGCAUAACACUAAUUUUGUCAUACAAGCACAUAAAUGUGGGUCAAUGGGACCCAUGUUUAUUCUUUACAAUAUUUCUAUAGAUGAAUUAUUAAUUUUAAUUGUAUGAGUUUUAUUAUAUUAAACAAUGAGUACUUAACAGGAAAAAAUAUUACAAAAAUAAAGUAUUGAAUUUUUAAUA